GUGGGGAAUCUUGCGCAAUGGGCGAAAGCCUGACGCAGCCAUGCCGCGUGAAUGAUGAAGGUCUUAGGAUUGUAAAAUUCUUUCACCGGGGACGAUAAUGACGGUACCCGGAGAAGAAGCCCCGGCUAACUUCGUGCCAGCAGCCGCGGUAAUACGAAGGGGGCUAGCGUGGCUCGGAAUUACUGGGCGUAAAGGGCGCGUAGGCGGACAGUUUAGUCAGAGGUGAAAGCCCAGGGCUCAACCUUGGAAUUGCCUUUGAUACUGGCUGUCUUGAGUACGGGAGAGGUGAGUGGAACUCCGAGUGUAGAGGUGAAAUUCGUAGAUAUUCGGAAGAACACCAGUGGCGAAGGCGACUCACUGGCCCGUUACUGACGCUGAGGCGCGAAAGCGUGGGGAGCAAACAGGAUUAGAUACCCUUGUAGUCC
rnacentral:rRNA from 1 species